CCUACGGGUGGCAGCAGCGGGGAAUAUUGGACAAUGGGGGGAACCCUGAUCCAGCCAUGCCGCGUGUGUGAAGAAGGCCCUCGGGUUGUAAAGCACUUUCAGUGAGGAAGAACGCCUGGUGGUUAAUACCCAUCAGGAAAGACAUCACUCACAGAAGAAGCACCGGCUAACUCCGUGCCAGCAGCCGCGGUAAUACGGAGGGUGCGAGCGUUAAUCGGAAUUACUGGGCGUAAAGCGCGCGUAGGUGGCUUGAUAAGCCGGUUGUGAAAGCCCCGGGCUCAACCUGGGAACGGCAUCCGGAACUGUCAAGCUAGAGAGCAGGAGAGGAAGGUAGAAUCCCCGGUGUAGCGGUGGAAUGCGUAGAGAUAGGGAGGAAUAGCAGUGGCGAAGGCGGCCUUCUGGACUGACACUGACACUGAGGUGCGAAAGCGUGGGUAGCAGACAGGACUAGAUACCCGUGUAGUC
rnacentral:rRNA from 1 species